rnacentral:rRNA from 1 species
UACAGAGGUCCCAAGCGUUGUUCGGAUUCAUUGGGCGUAAAGGGUGCGUAGGUGGUGCCGUAAGUCAGGUGUGAAAUCUCGGGGCUCAACCCCGAAACUGCACUUGAUACUGCGGUGCUCGAGGACUGGAGAGGAGAUUGGAAUUCAUGGUGUAGCAGUGAAAUGCGUAGAUAUCAUGAGGAAGACCAGUGGCGAAGGCGGGUCUCUGGACAGUUCCUGACACUGAGACACGAAGGCCAGGGGAGCAAACGGG